CUUAAGGAGGGAAAGGGAGAGCGGAAGGGAGCUUCUUCCCCGGCAGAGCCGACAGUGUGUGUGUGUGUGUGUGUGUGUGUCUCUGCCUACUUGGUUUAAAACAUUGUUAGACUGAAAAGUUCGGCAAUAAAGCCUUCUGAAAACCCUUGAUCUCUGUCCUGCCGUCCUCUGUGCUCCACCCACACGCUAUUCGCGCUACAGUGGUGCCGAAACCCGGGACAAGGUGGAGCAUCAGUCCUGCAGCCCCAUGGAAUCCUCCCCGUUCGCAGACUUGGUCCACGCCCUCGCCACGGCUCAGCAGAGCCAGCACCAGGCACUCGUCACGCUCCGGAAGGAGCAGGAGCUCCGCUUCGAAGCCCUGGUGCUGGCUCAACAGGAAGAUCGAGAGGCGUUCCGGCGUCUCCUCACGUCGGCGGGAUCCACCAGCGCCCCGGCCGCGGGCCCGUCUCCCCUCACCUUAACUAAGAUGGGCCUGCAGGACGACCCCGAGGCUUUCAUCACGUUGUUCGAGCAGGUCGCAGAAGCCUCGGGGUGGCCGAUGGAGCAGCGCGCGGCGCGCCUCCUCCCCCUCCUGACGGGAGAGGCGCAGCUGGCCGCACUACAGCUCCCCGCCGAUCGCCGGCUGGCCUACGCCGACCUUCGCCGGGCUGUCCUCCAGCGCGUGGGGCGCACGCCGGAGCAGCAGCGCCAGCGCUUCCGCGCGCUGCGGAUGGAGGAAGUCGGCAGCCUGUUCGCGUUCGGCCAGCAGCUCCGGGACGCCUGCUGGCGGUGGCUGAGGGCCGAAGAUCGCGACACCGAGGGAAUCAUCGACCAGGUGGCGCUGGAACAGUUCACCGCCCGCUUACCAGCCGGAACCGCGGAGUGGGUCCAGUGCCACCGCCCGGCGUCGCUGGAUCAGGCCGUGGGACUGGCGGAGGAUCAUCUGGCGGCUGUUCCGGCAGCAGGACAACCACCGACAUCGUCUUCUCUCUCCUCUCCUCUCUCUCUUUCUCUCCCCCCUCCUCCCGUGUCUCGUCCUCGCCCCAUUCCCCCACCACGGAGGCGGGGGCCGGCUCCACCCCAGCCGGCCCGCCGCACCUGUGGUGCCCUCCCGUUUCUCCCUUCUGUGUCUGUCUCUCCCCCCCCUCAGGUGAGUGAGCCUCAGAACACAGCUGCAGAGGGAAGGCCUGGGCCGGUUUGCCGGCGCUGCGGGGAACCGGGCCACCUGCAGCAACAGUGUGCAGCGAUGGAGGUGGGGGCGGUGGUGCGGAUCCCCGACGCGCCAGAGGCUGCCCUCGAUCGGGCCGGAACGUAUCGCAUACCGACGGAUGCGUCGGACAGAGGGCUGGGGGCCGUUUUGUCCCAGCAGGUGGGGGGAGAGGACCGCCCAGUGUUAUACAUCAGCCGGAAGCUGUCAGUGCGUGAGGGGUGCUACAGCACUAUCGAGAAAGAGUGCCUGGCCAUCAAGUGGGCGGUCCUCGCCCUCCGUUACUACCUGCUGGGGCGCUCUUUCACCCUCUGUUCGGACCACGCGCCCCUCCAGUGGCUCCACUGCAUGAAGGAUGCCAACGCGCGGAUCACCCGUUGGUAUCUGGCGCUCCAACCUUUCAACUUCAAGGUGGUCCACAGGCCGGGGGCGCAGAUGGUCGUGGCGGACUUCUUCUCCCGUCAAGGGGGGGGAGUUGGCUGCGGGCCGGACGGGCGCCCGGCCUGAGUCGGGCGGUGGGGGUAUGUGGCAGCGGGGGCGUGAUCAAGCGCCGGUCUGUGACAGGAGGGCGGAGUUGGGGAAGAUGUCGCAGAGUGGCAUGCACCAGCAGCUGGCAUGUUCCUGUGGAUUAAACUAAAGGGCAUUAAAGACACACAGACACUCAUAAU